rnacentral:rRNA from 1 species
GGGCCCGCACAAGCGGCGGAGCAUGCGGAUUAAUUCGAAGCAACGCGCAGAACCUUACCAGCCUUUGACAUCCUGGUCGCGGUUUGAGGAGACUCUUACCUUCAGUUCGGCUGGACCAGUGACAGGUGCUGCAUGGCUGUCGUCAGCUCGUGUCGUGAGAUGUUGGGUUAAGUCCCGCAACGAGCGCAACCCUCGUCCUUAGUUGCUACCAUUUAGUUGGGCACUUUAAGGAAACUGCCGGUGAUAAGCCGGAGGAAGGUGGGGAUGACGUCAAGUCCUCAUGGCCCUUACAGGCUGGGCUACACACGUGCUACAAUGGCGAUGACAGUGGGCAGCGACCCCGCAAGGGUGGAGCUAA